rnacentral:rRNA from 1 species
CCUACGGGAGGCAGCAGUGGGGAAUAUUGCACAAUGGGGGAAACCCUGAUGCAGCGACGCCGCGUGAGUGAAGAAGUAUUUCGGUAUGUAAAGCUCUAUCAGCAGGGAAGAAAAUGACGGUACCUGAUUAAGAAGCCCCGGCUAACUACGUGCCAGCAGCCGCGGUAAUACGUAGGGGGCAAGCGUUUUCCGGAUUUACUGGGUGUAAAGGGAGCGUAGACGGCAGCACAAGUCUGGAGUGAAAAGCCGGGGCUUAACCCCGGAACUGCUUUGGAAACUGUGCAGCUGGAGUGCAGGAGAGGUAAGUGGAAUUCCUAGUGUAGCGGUGAAAUGCGUAGAUAUUAGGAGGAACACCAGAGGCGAAGGCGGCUUACUGGACUGUAACUGACGUUGAGGCUCGAAAGCGUGGGGAGCAAACAGGAUUAGAUACCCUUGUAGUC